AGCGGCGGACGGGUGAGUAACGCGUGGGUAACCGUGCCUCAUACAGGGGAUAACAGUUGAAACGGCUGCUAAUACCGCAUAAGCGCACAGUACCGCAUGGUACGGUGUGAAAAACUCCGGUGGUAUGAGAUGGACCCGCGUCUGAUUAGGUAGUUGGUGGGGUAACGGGCCUACCAAGCCGACGAUCAGUAGCCGACCUGAGAGGGUGACCGGCCACAUUGGGACUGAGACACGGCCCAA
rnacentral:rRNA from 1 species